GCGCCCAAGGAGUCAUCAAGGAAGUAACAAGACCCAAGGAAAGGGGCGCUAGGGGGCGUGGUCCCCCCUGGCGGCCCCGAUCUUCUGUCUAACAAGGAAGUCUCCCGCCCAGCAGGGAGAUAGACGGCGAGGAGCGCUUGGUAGUAUUCGCAAGAGACCCUGAGCCCUCCUCGAACAGCCGUCUGGAAGACCACCGUGGAGUUUUAGUCGGUAAGAGUCCGACACUUCCCAUGCUGCUCGCAGCUGGGAGUCCAUGAGGAUUUCUCCACGAAAAAAAAAAAAAAAAAAGGUUGGGGUUAGGUUGUCAACGUCCGUUGGCUGGGGUGAAACACUCGUUCCCGUUAGAUCACGAAAGUUAAGCACCCCAGGUUGCGGGGCGGUCUGGGAUGGGUGACCGCUCCGUGAUGACGUU
rnacentral:misc_RNA from 1 species